AAUCAACGCUGGCGGCGUGCCUAACACAUGCAAGUCGAACGAGAAAGUGGGGGCAACCCCAUGAGUAGAGUGGCAGACGGGUGAGUAACACGUGAACAACCUUCCCUUGAGUGGGGAAUAACACUGCGAAAGUGAUGCUAAUACCGCAUAACAUCUCCGGGUCGCAUGAUUUGGAGAUCAAAAGCGAAAGUUGCUUGAGGAGGGUUCGCGCCUGAUUAGCUAGUUGGUGAGGUAACGGCCCACCAAGGCAACGAUCAGUAGCCGGCCUGAGAGGGCGAACGGCCACACUGGAACUGAGACACGGUCCAGACUCCUACGGGUGGCAG
rnacentral:rRNA from 1 species